rnacentral:lncRNA from 13 species
AGUAAAUGUAGAGUGAGGCCUAUGAGUCCAUAUUUUUAAAACAAGUUCCCCAGUUUACCCUAUGCUUAGGCAACUGUGGAAACUGUGAGGUGGAGGAUGUGGAGGAGACAUCCCGAGAACGGGCUUCUUAGCAUGUUUCUCUCACUGACUUGGGUGAGCUCAAGGGAAGACCUUUGUCUUCUUUUCUCUCAGUUUCCUUAAAAUGCAGUCUUUAAUGGGCCCAAUCCUGGUCUAGAAACUUGUCCAAAAUUCCUGCUGUAACCAAAGGAAUAUUAAUAAUAAACCUUGUGAGCUGUUUCAAGGCAGACAUAUCCAGGUUCGCUCCGUCAUAGGUAUCUGUUGAGUUCUUCCUACUCGGAGAAGAGUUCCUUCUGCCUCCGCUUGUCUCCCUUGGCCUUUCAGGGCCCCGUCUGUGCUAUCUGACCGAUAUGGUUUAGCUGUGCCCCCACCCAAAUCUCAUCUUGAAUUGUAGCUCCCAUAAUUCCCAUGUGUUGUGGAAGAGACCCAGUGAGAGGUAAUUGAAUCAUAGGGGCAGGUCUUUCCUGUGCUGUUCUCAUGACAGUGAGUAAGUCUGAUGAGAUCUGAUGCUUUUAUAAAGGGAGUUCCCCUGCACAUGCUCUCUUGCCUGCUGACAUGUAAGACAUGCCUUUGUUCCUCCUUUGCCUUCCGCCAUGAUUGUGAGACCUUCACACCAUGUGGAACUUGUGGUCAUCUGUACUCUGAAGACACCCGAUGACCUUGGAAAAUAGCCACAACUAAGGGGAAAUGCUACAGCGCUGAGAGGAAUCAGUCUAUGCACAAACCUCCUUCUUCUCUCAAAGUAAGUGAGUCUUGCUAUGUUGCUCAGCCUCCCUUGCAGGCAGGUUUGGUCAUGCAACAAAACCCUCUCCAAUGAAUGAAAGCAGAAGUGAUAGGUACUCCUUACAGGCCUGGCCUACAAAACCACUGUGACAUUUGCUAAAACAGUCUUCCUUCAACUAGGUAAAAAUCUAUUUCCCUCUCUUCAUUAUCUGCUAAUCUCAGUUUAUUUUUCUGAAGUAAAUAGGAUAAGCUUACUCCAUCCCCACAUGCCUUUUUAGGAGGUUUAGGAGGUUUUCUAACUCAAAUAUCUAUGAUUUCAUAACUGAUCUUAGAAUGCCUUUUCAAAAUGAC